UCAUUUCUAUAAAUCCAAAAACUAUGUGGAAACUAACUUCUUUUGCUCUACUGUUUCUUGUUGCUUCGUAUUUAGCUAAUGAUUCCAAAAGCACAACCGUAGAUCCAUGCCGAGGCGAAUGUUUCGACCAAAAUGUGUUGGGAAUAAGAUCAAAGAAUUGCAGUUGUCGUCCUGUUAUACCUCUGCGCAAAUCUGUGAAAAGGUUUGAGGAUUACAGAAGCCAAUACCGUGACAACCUGUUGAAAGAUUAUUUGGAGCAAUAUGAAGAUUUGAAAUAAAUUUUCCAUUGCAUCUAAGGUGCGCGGAAGAAGAAAGAAAAUAACAUGAUUCCAUGAAAUCAAUUAUAUUAUUUCAUGUUUUUCAUUACAUAUUUCAUAAAAGGCAAUCAUACCCUGUUGGAAUGAAGUAUUUUGAUUAAAUCAUAAAAUACCACUGUAAUCUUUGAAAUAAAGUACGUGCAACUUCUGAAA